GGGUUGUGAGGUUAAGCGACUAAGCGUACACGGUGGAUGCCCUGGCAGUCAGAGGCGAUGAAGGACGUGCUAAUCUGCGAUAAGCGUCGGUAAGGUGAUAUGAACCGUUAUAACCGGCGAUUUCCGAAUGGGGAAACCCAGUGUGAUUCGUCACACUAUCAUUAACUGAAUCCAUAGGUUAAUGAGGCGAACCGGGGGAACUGAAACAUCUAAGUACCCCGAGGAAAAGAAAUCAACCGAGAUUCCCCCAGUAGCGGCGAGCGAACGGGGAGGAGCCCAGAGCCUGAAUCAGUGUGUGUGUUAGUGGAAGCGUCUGGAAAGGCGCGCGAUACAGGGUGACAGCCCCGUACACAAAAAUGCACAUAUUGUGAGCUCGAUGAGUAGGGCGGGACACGUGGUAUCCUGUCUGAAUAUGGGGGGACCAUCCUCCAAGGCUAAAUACUCCUGACUGACCGAUAGUGAACCAGUACCGUGAGGGAAAGGCGAAAAGAACCCCGGCGAGGGGAGUGAAAAAGAACCUGAAACCGUGUACGUACAAGCAGUGGGAGCACGCUUAGGCGUGUGACUGCGUACCUUUUGUAUAAUGGGUCAGCGACUUAUAUUCUGUAGCAAGGUUAACCGAAUAGGGGAGCCGAAGGGAAACCGAGUCUUAACUGGGCGUUAAGUUGCAGGGUAUAGACCCGAAACCCGGUGAUCUAGCCAUGGGCAGGUUGAAGGUUGGGUAACACUAACUGGAGGACCGAACCGACUAAUGUUGAAAAAUUAGCGGAUGACUUGUGGCUGGGGGUGAAAGGCCAAUCAAACCGGGAGAUAGCUGGUUCUCCCCGAAAGCUAUUUAGGUAGCGCCUCGUGAAUUCAUCUCCGGGGGUAGAGCACUGUUUCGGCAAGGGGGUCAUCCCGACUUACCAACCCGAUGCAAACUGCGAAUACCGGAGAAUGUUAUCACGGGAGACACACGGCGGGUGCUAACGUCCGUCGUGAAGAGGGAAACAACCCAGACCGCCAGCUAAGGUCCCAAAGUCAUGGUUAAGUGGGAAACGAUGUGGGAAGGCCCAGACAGCCAGGAUGUUGGCUUAGAAGCAGCCAUCAUUUAAAGAAAGCGUAAUAGCUCACUGGUCGAGUCGGCCUGCGCGGAAGAUGUAACGGGGCUAAACCAUGCACCGAAGCUGCGGCAGCGACGCUGAUGCGUUGUUGGGUAGGGGAGCGUUCUGUAAGCCUGCGAAGGUGUGCUGUGAGGCAUGCUGGAGGUAUCAGAAGUGCGAAUGCUGACAUAAGUAACGAUAAAGCGGGUGAAAAGCCCGCUCGCCGGAAGACCAAGGGUUCCUGUCCAACGUUAAUCGGGGCAGGGUGAGUCGACCCCUAAGGCGAGGCCGAAAGGCGUAGUCGAUGGGAAACAGGUUAAUAUUCCUGUACUUGGUGUUACUGCGAAGGGGGGACGGAGAAGGCUAUGUUGGCCGGGCGACGGUUGUCCCGGUUUAAGCGUGUAGGCUGGUUUUCCAGGCAAAUCCGGAAAAUCAAGGCUGAGGCGUGAUGACGAGGCACUACGGUGCUGAAGCAACAAAUGCCCUGCUUCCAGGAAAAGCCUCUAAGCAUCAGGUAACAUCAAAUCGUACCCCAAACCGACACAGGUGGUCAGGUAGAGAAUACCAAGGCGCUUGAGAGAACUCGGGUGAAGGAACUAGGCAAAAUGGUGCCGUAACUUCGGGAGAAGGCACGCUGAUAUGUAGGUGAAGUCCCUCGCGGAUGGAGCUGAAAUCAGUCGAAGAUACCAGCUGGCUGCAACUGUUUAUUAAAAACACAGCACUGUGCAAACACGAAAGUGGACGUAUACGGUGUGACGCCUGCCCGGUGCCGGAAGGUUAAUUGAUGGGGUUAGCCGCAAGGCGAAGCUCUUGAUCGAAGCCCCGGUAAACGGCGGCCGUAACUAUAACGGUCCUAAGGUAGCGAAAUUCCUUGUCGGGUAAGUUCCGACCUGCACGAAUGGCGUAAUGAUGGCCAGGCUGUCUCCACCCGAGACUCAGUGAAAUUGAACUCGCUGUGAAGAUGCAGUGUACCCGCGGCAAGACGGAAAGACCCCGUGAACCUUUACUAUAGCUUGACACUGAACAUUGAGCCUUGAUGUGUAGGAUAGGUGGGAGGCUUUGAAGUGUGGACGCCAGUCUGCAUGGAGCCGACCUUGAAAUACCACCCUUUAAUGUUUGAUGUUCUAACGUUGACCCGUAAUCCGGGUUGCGGACAGUGUCUGGUGGGUAGUUUGACUGGGGCGGUCUCCUCCUAAAGAGUAACGGAGGAGCACGAAGGUUGGCUAAUCCUGGUCGGACAUCAGGAGGUUAGUGCAAUGGCAUAAGCCAGCUUGACUGCGAGCGUGACGGCGCGAGCAGGUGCGAAAGCAGGUCAUAGUGAUCCGGUGGUUCUGAAUGGAAGGGCCAUCGCUCAACGGAUAAAAGGUACUCCGGGGAUAACAGGCUGAUACCGCCCAAGAGUUCAUAUCGACGGCGGUGUUUGGCACCUCGAUGUCGGCUCAUCACAUCCUGGGGCUGAAGUAGGUCCCAAGGGUAUGGCUGUUCGCCAUUUAAAGUGGUACGCGAGCUGGGUUUAGAACGUCGUGAGACAGUUCGGUCCCUAUCUGCCGUGGGCGCUGGAGAACUGAGGGGGGCUGCUCCUAGUACGAGAGGACCGGAGUGGACGCAUCACUGGUGUUCGGGUUGUCAUGCCAAUGGCACUGCCCGGUAGCUAAAUGCGGAAGAGAUAAGUGCUGAAAGCAUCUAAGCACGAAACUUGCCCCGAGAUGAGUUCUCCCUGACUCCUUGAGAGUCCUGAAGGAACGUUGAAGACGACGACGUUGAUAGGCCGGGUGUGUAAGCGCAGCGAUGCGUUGAGCUAACCGGUACUAAUGAACCGUGAGGCUUAACCUUACAACGCCGAAGGUGUUU
rnacentral:rRNA from 1 species